GAUGAACGCUGGCGGCGUGCCUAAUACAUGCAAGUCGAGCGAACGGACGAGAAGCUUGCUUCUCUGAUGUUAGCGGCGGACGGGUGAGUAACACGUGGAUAACCUACCUAUAAGACUGGGAUAACUUCGGGAAACCGUAGCUAAUACCGGAUAAUAUUUUGAACCGCAUGGUUCAAAAGUGAAAGACGGUCUUGCUGUCACUUAUAGAUGGAUCCGCGCUGCAUUAGCUAGUUGGUAAGGUAACGGCUUACCAAGGCAACGAUGCAUAGCCGACCUGAGAGGGCGAUCGGCCACACUGGAACUGAGACACGGUCCAGACUCCUACGGGAGGCAGCAGUAGGGAAUCUUCCGCAAUGGGCGAAAGCCUGACGGAGCAACGCCGCGUGAGUGAUGAAGGUCUUCGGAUCGUAAAACUCUGUUAUUAGGGAAGAACAUAUGUGUAAGUAACUGUGCACAUCUUGACGGUACCUAAUCAGAAAGCCACGGCUAACUACGUGCCAGCAGCCGCGGUAAUACGUAGGUGGCAAGCGUUAUCCGGAAUUAUUGGGCGUAAAGCGCGCGUAGGCGGUUUUUUAAGUCUGAUGCGAAAGCCCACGGCUCAACCGUGGAGGGUCAUUGGAAACUGGAAAACUUGAGUGCAGAAGAGGAAAGUGGAAUUCCAUGUGUAGCGGUGAAAUGCGCAGAGAUAUGGAGGAACACCAGUGGCGAAGGCGACUUUCUGGUCUGUAACUGACGCUGAUGUGCGAAAGCGUGGGGAUCAAACAGGAUUAGAUACCCUGGUAGUCCACGCCGUAAACGAUGAGUGCUAAGUGUUAGGGGGUUUCCGCCCCUUAGUGCUGCAGCUAACGCAUUAAGCACUCCGCCUGGGGAGUACGACCGCAAGGUUGAAACUCAAAGGAAUUGACGGGGACCCGCACAAGCGGUGGAGCAUGUGGUUUAAUUCGAAGCAACGCGAAGAACCUUACCAAAUCUUGACAUCCUUUGACAACUCUAGAGAUAGAGCCUUCCCCUUCGGGGGACAAAGUGACAGGUGGUGCAUGGUUGUCGUCAGCUCGUGUCGUGAGAUGUUGGGUUAAGUCCCGCAACGAGCGCAACCCUUAAGCUUAGUUGCCAUCAUUAAGUUGGGCACUCUAAGUUGACUGCCGGUGACAAACCGGAGGAAGGUGGGGAUGACGUCAAAUCAUCAUGCCCCUUAUGAUUUGGGCUACACACGUGCUACAAUGGACAAUACAAAGGGCAGCGAAACCGCGAGGUCAAGCAAAUCCCAUAAAGUUGUUCUCAGUUCGGAUUGUAGUCUGCAACUCGACUACAUGAAGCUGGAAUCGCUAGUAAUCGUAGAUCAGCAUGCUACGGUGAAUACGUUCCCGGGUCU
rnacentral:rRNA from 1 species